rnacentral:rRNA from 2 species
GGGUUGUGAGGUUAAGCGACUAAGCGUACACGGUGGAUGCCCUGGCAGUCAGAGGCGAUGAAGGACGUGCUAAUCUGCGAUAAGCGUCGGUAAGGUGAUAUGAACCGUUAUAACCGGCGAUUUCCGAAUGGGGAAACCCAGUGUGUUUCGACACACUAUCAUUAACUGAAUCCAUAGGUUAAUGAGGCGAACCGGGGGAACUGAAACAUCUAAGUACCCCGAGGAAAAGAAAUCAACCGAGAUUCCCCCAGUAGCGGCGAGCGAACGGGGAGCAGCCCAGAGCCUGAAUCAGUGUGUGUGUUAGUGGAAGCGUCUGGAAAGGCGCGCGAUACAGGGUGACAGCCCCGUACACAAAAAUGCACAUGCUGUGAGCUCGAUGAGUAGGGCGGGACACGUGGUAUCCUGUCUGAAUAUGGGGGGACCAUCCUCCAAGGCUAAAUACUCCUGACUGACCGAUAGUGAACCAGUACCGUGAGGGAAAGGCGAAAAGAACCCCGGCGAGGGGAGUGAAAAAGAACCUGAAACCGUGUACGUACAAGCAGUGGGAGCACGCUUAGGCGUGUGACUGCGUACCUUUUGUAUAAUGGGUCAGCGACUUAUAUUCUGUAGCAAGGUUAACCGAAUAGGGGAGCCGAAGGGAAACCGAGUCUUAACUGGGCGUUAAGUUGCAGGGUAUAGACCCGAAACCCGGUGAUCUAGCCAUGGGCAGGUUGAAGGUUGGGUAACACUAACUGGAGGACCGAACCGACUAAUGUUGAAAAAUUAGCGGAUGACUUGUGGCUGGGGGUGAAAGGCCAAUCAAACCGGGAGAUAGCUGGUUCUCCCCGAAAGCUAUUUAGGUAGCGCCUCGUGAAUUCAUCUCCGGGGGUAGAGCACUGUUUCGGCAAGGGGGUCAUCCCGACUUACCAACCCGAUGCAAACUGCGAAUACCGGAGAAUGUUAUCACGGGAGACACACGGCGGGUGCUAACGUCCGUCGUGAAGAGGGAAACAACCCAGACCGCCAGCUAAGGUCCCAAAGUCAUGGUUAAGUGGGAAACGAUGUGGGAAGGCCCAGACAGCCAGGAUGUUGGCUUAGAAGCAGCCAUCAUUUAAAGAAAGCGUAAUAGCUCACUGGUCGAGUCGGCCUGCGCGGAAGAUGUAACGGGGCUAAACCAUGCACCGAAGCUGCGGCAGCGACGCUUAUGCGUUGUUGGGUAGGGGAGCGUUCUGUAAGCCUGUGAAGGUGUACUGUGAGGUAUGCUGGAGGUAUCAGAAGUGCGAAUGCUGACAUAAGUAACGAUAAAGCGGGUGAAAAGCCCGCUCGCCGGAAGACCAAGGGUUCCUGUCCAACGUUAAUCGGGGCAGGGUGAGUCGACCCCUAAGGCGAGGCCGAAAGGCGUAGUCGAUGGGAAACAGGUUAAUAUUCCUGUACUUGGUGUUACUGCGAAGGGGGGACGGAGAAGGCUAUGUUGGCCGGGCGACGGUUGUCCCGGUUUAAGCGUGUAGGCUGGUUUUCCAGGCAAAUCCGGAAAAUCAAGGCUGAGGCGUGAUGACGAGGCACUACGGUGCUGAAGCAACAAAUGCCCUGCUUCCAGGAAAAGCCUCUAAGCAUCAGGUAACAUCAAAUCGUACCCCAAACCGACACAGGUGGUCAGGUAGAGAAUACCAAGGCGCUUGAGAGAACUCGGGUGAAGGAACUAGGCAAAAUGGUGCCGUAACUUCGGGAGAAGGCACGCUGAUAUGUAGGUGAAGCGACUUGCUCGUGGAGCUGAAAUCAGUCGAAGAUACCAGCUGGCUGCAACUGUUUAUUAAAAACACAGCACUGUGCAAACACGAAAGUGGACGUAUACGGUGUGACGCCUGCCCGGUGCCGGAAGGUUAAUUGAUGGGGUCAGCGCAAGCGAAGCUCUUGAUCGAAGCCCCGGUAAACGGCGGCCGUAACUAUAACGGUCCUAAGGUAGCGAAAUUCCUUGUCGGGUAAGUUCCGACCUGCACGAAUGGCGUAAUGAUGGCCAGGCUGUCUCCACCCGAGACUCAGUGAAAUUGAACUCGCUGUGAAGAUGCAGUGUACCCGCGGCAAGACGGAAAGACCCCGUGAACCUUUACUAUAGCUUGACACUGAACAUUGAGCCUUGAUGUGUAGGAUAGGUGGGAGGCUUUGAAGUGUGGACGCCAGUCUGCAUGGAGCCGACCUUGAAAUACCACCCUUUAAUGUUUGAUGUUCUAACGUUGACCCGUAAUCCGGGUUGCGGACAGUGUCUGGUGGGUAGUUUGACUGGGGCGGUCUCCUCCUAAAGAGUAACGGAGGAGCACGAAGGUUGGCUAAUCCUGGUCGGACAUCAGGAGGUUAGUGCAAUGGCAUAAGCCAGCUUGACUGCGAGCGUGACGGCGCGAGCAGGUGCGAAAGCAGGUCAUAGUGAUCCGGUGGUUCUGAAUGGAAGGGCCAUCGCUCAACGGAUAAAAGGUACUCCGGGGAUAACAGGCUGAUACCGCCCAAGAGUUCAUAUCGACGGCGGUGUUUGGCACCUCGAUGUCGGCUCAUCACAUCCUGGGGCUGAAGUAGGUCCCAAGGGUAUGGCUGUUCGCCAUUUAAAGUGGUACGCGAGCUGGGUUUAGAACGUCGUGAGACAGUUCGGUCCCUAUCUGCCGUGGGCGCUGGAGAACUGAGGGGGGCUGCUCCUAGUACGAGAGGACCGGAGUGGACGCAUCACUGGUGUUCGGGUUGUCAUGCCAAUGGCACUGCCCGGUAGCUAAAUGCGGAAGAGAUAAGUGCUGAAAGCAUCUAAGCACGAAACUUGCCCCGAGAUGAGUUCUCCCUGACUCCUUGAGAGUCCUGAAGGAACGUUGAAGACGACGACGUUGAUAGGCCGGGUGUGUAAGCGCAGCGAUGCGUUGAGCUAACCGGUACUAAUGAACCGUGAGGCUUAACCUUACAACGCCGAAGCUGUU